rnacentral:rRNA from 1 species
UACGUAGGGUGCGAGCGUUGUCCGGAAUUACUGGGCGUAAAGAGCUCGUAGGUGGUUUGUCGCGUUGUUCGUGAAAACUCACAACUCAAUUGUGGGCGUGCGGGCGAUACGGGCAGACUGGAGUACUGCAGGGGAGACUGGAAUUCCUGGUGUAGCGGUGGAAUGCGCAGAUAUCAGGAGGAACACCGGUGGCGAAGGCGGGUCUCUGGGCAGUAACUGACGCUGAGGAGCGAAAGCUAGGGGAGCAAACGGG